rnacentral:lncRNA from 1 species
UAUACCACAUAUAUAUCUACAUUUUUUUUUUAAUUGAGUAGAAAUAUUCUUAUUAAGUUUUAAUUAUUGAUAGUUCUUCUUUUGUUAAAUGAGAAUUUAGCCCCGAUUAUACGUUACGUAAAAACGAUAGGGCCAAACAUAAUUUAUAUAAUACAAUAUACAUAGUUUAUAGUCGAUGUAAAAUUGUUGUUUAGUCAUGGUGAAAAAAAAUCCUACGAUUCUGAUCAGAUUACGUGGCCAUCGAAGUCUCUAUAUCAUUUUACAACCACUUCCUCGCCUCCUCAUUGCGUAUAAAAGGGAAGAGAAUAUAAUGAAUACUAUAUUAAUGAAUGUCUGUUCGUGCAUUUCGUGGCUAGUUUUAGAAAUUGUUUACGGUAAACGACCAAAAAUUAUGCGUAAGACGGAAAAUAACGAAUUUUUAAAUUUAUGAUAGCAGUAAAGACAUUAGUAAGAAUUUUUCUGGGAACGAUACGAUUUAAUGGAACUUCAACAACAAAAAAUAUUUAGAUAAUUGAAUUAUAAAACUUUAAAAAUUCUACACACGAUAUAUUAAUUUUGAUUCAUUAAGUUUUUCUUUUUUUUUUUUUACAAGUUAAAAGCGAAAAUUUAUUGAAAACGUUUGCUAGAAACAUAUUGCUUAAGUUGUAGUAUGUUGUAGCUUUUAAAUUUUAUCGCUGCUUUGCUUGGCUUCUCCAAAUAGCUACGGCAUAACUGUAACUUGUGUUCUAUUUUCAUAUUCGUAAAUCUUUUAAGAUGGAUCAAAGCAAAGGUUUUAACGAUAAUUUAACGCUUAUAACGUCGACACUCUGUUUAAAAAUAAUUAUCGCACGCAAACAUCGGAAGAAAGCACCCUGCAAUAAUUAAAACUAAUUUAAUAGAAAAUAAAGUUAAUUUUUUUCUUUUUUUUUUAUUAAAGAACGUAUACGCUUAAAAGAAGAUAACCGUUAAAAAUUUUCCAAGCAACAAGGUCGACGUUGGCUAGGGGGCAAAGAUUAUCAUAACAAGCUGACAAGUUCCUGUCCCAUUCGACCCAAUUUUUGUGCUUCUACGAUGUUUAUAAGGCAGGUGAUAUGACGUCACGGCUGCGACGCUCCACUACCUAGAAUAACAACGUCGAUCUCCGCAAUGAAAAGUAAUUCUGUUAGUUUCCGGCGCUCGUCCGAUCCGGUAGAGUGAGGUGGUCGAAAAUUCAUUACGUCAUCGGUGGGGUGCCGAGCGGUGGGUUCUUCUCUAUUGUGUGUUGCUAUGGUUACGGAGAAGGGAGACCCGAGCCGGCGGAAGAAUAUGUUUGUAUUUACAGUAUGUUGGAGCACGGCGGCUUAAUGUUGCCUUUCAAGGCCGAUUGGGAAGCUUGUCAACGCCAGUUUAAACGUGGUACGAACUAUGGAAUGUGUUUCGUUUGAUAACGGUGUGACUCCUAUGUGACAGUUCGUCCCUUCGAUUUUUCCUACGUUCUGCCAUCUCGUUUUAACGUCCGGAACGACAGUGCUACAUUGAUCCAGUACAAGACUCAACUGUCACUAUGCCAAGAAGGAUAAAAAUACAGUGAUGUUGUGGUCAUAAAUUUUCAAGUCAAUGAUGCGCAGGAUUUUUAAUUAUCUGUCUCGAUAUACUGCAUACGGUUGUUUUCAUAUUUUGUACAAUAAUCCAAGGAAAAUGAAGCGAUGAUGGAUCAUGAAGAAACGGGUGAAUCUGCCAUUAAUCUGUCCACCAACCACACAACUCGUUCCGCUUCGUCGCCGACACCUAACGGAAGCGUCGAUGUCAAAAACGGAGACGUUCAGACUUCCAAACCGCAGAGAUCUAAAUUAAGCCAUUCCUUAUCUGAUGGCUCUUCUCUGCUUUCCCUUUCUCCAUCAUUACUAAUGAUGAAUCCUCAAUUAUUGGUUCGUCAGCAAAUGCAGCAACUUCUUCAACAACAGGUUCUUUCACCAACUCAGAUUCAACAAUUAUUGCAUCAACAGCAAUCAUUAUUUUUACAACAACAGCAACAGCAGCAACAGUUAAAACAGCUUGAAUCAAUGAUACCUCAUCUUCCAGAACAACUGCAGCUAAACAUGGU